rnacentral:rRNA from 1 species
AUUGAACGCUGGCGGCAGGCUUAACACAUGCAAGUCGAGCGGUAGCACAGGGGAGCUUGCUCCCUGGGUGACGAGCGGCGGACGGGUGAGUAAUGUCUGGGAAACUGCCUGAUGGAGGGGGAUAACUACUGGAAACGGUAGCUAAUACCGCAUAACGUCGCAAGACCAAAGAGGGGGACCUUCGGGCCUCUUGCCAUCAGAUGUGCCCAGAUGGGAUUAGCUAGUAGGUGGGGUAAUGGCUCACCUAGGCGACGAUCCCUAGCUGGUCUGAGAGGAUGAACAGGCACACUGGAACGGAGACACGGUCCAGACUCCUACGGGAGGCAGCAGUGGGGAAUAUUGCACAAUGGGCGCAAGCCUGAUGCAGCCAUGCCGCGUGUGUGAAGAAGGCCUUCGGGUUGUAAAGCACUUUCAGCGAGGAGGAAGGUGGUGAGCUUAAUACGUUCAUCAAUUGACGUUACUCGCAGAAGAAGCACCGGCUAACUCCGUG